UCAGUAACACGUGGUCCACCUAACUUGUGGACGUGGAUAACCUCGGGAAACUGAGAAUAAACCGCGAUAGAUCAUUAUGCCUGGAAUGGCUUAUGGUCGAAAUAGUUUACUGCCACAGGAUGGGACUGGGGCCUAUCAGCUUGUUGGUGAGGUAAUGGCCCACCAAGGCUAUAACAGGUACGGGCUCUGAGAGGAGAAGCCCGGAGAUGGGUACUGAGACACGGACCCAGGCCCUAUGGGGCGCAGCAGGCGAGAAACCUUAGCAAUGUGCGAAAGCACGACUGGGUCAGUCCGAGUGAUUCCUGCUAAAGGAAUUUUUUACCUGUCCUAAAAGCACACGGAGAAUAAGGGGUGGGCAAGGUCUGGUGCCA
rnacentral:rRNA from 1 species